GUAGGUGGCAAGCGUUGUCCGGAAUUAUUGGGCGUAAAGCGCGCGCAGGCGGUCCUUUAAGUCUGAUGUGAAAGCCCACGGCUCAACCGUGGAGGGUCAUUGGAAACUGGGGGACUUGAGUACAGAAGAGGAAAGCGGAAUUCCACGUGUAGCGGUGAAAUGCGUAGAGAUGUGGAGGAACACCAGUGGCGAAGGCGGCUUUCUGGUCUGUAACUGACGCUGAGGCGCGAAAGCGUGGGGAGCAAACAGGGAUUAGAUACCCUGGCAGUCCACGCCGUAAACGAUGAGUGCUAAGUGUUAGGGGGUUUCCGCCCCCUUAGUGCUGCAGCUAACGCAUUAAGCACUCCGCCUGGGGAGUACGGCCGCAAGGCUG
rnacentral:rRNA from 1 species